rnacentral:rRNA from 1 species
UACGAAGGGGGCUAGCGUUGCUCGGAAUCGCUGGGCGUAAAGGGUGCGUAGGCGGGUCUUUAAGUCAGGGGUGAAAUCCUGGAGCUCAACUCCAGUACUGCCUUUGAUACUGAGGAUCUUGAGUUCGGGAGAGGUGAGUGGAACUGCGAGUGUAGAGGUGAAAUUCGUAGAUAUUCGCAAGAACACCAGUGGCGAAGGCGGCUCACUGGCCCGAUACUGACGCUGAGGCACGAAAGCGUGGGGAGCAAACAGG